rnacentral:rRNA from 1 species
CCCUUAGAUGUCCUGGGCCGCACGCGCGCUACACUGACACGUUCAUCAAGUCUAUAACCUUGACCGAGAGGUCUGGGUAAUCUUUUAAAAACGUGUCGUGCUGGGGAUAGAUUAUUGCAAUUAUUAAUCUUCAACGAGGAAUUCCUAGUAAACGCAAGUCAUCAACUUGCAUUGAUUACGUCCCUGCCCUUUGUACACACCACCCGUCGCUACUACCGAUUGAAUGAUUUAGUGAGUACCAGGGACCGAGCGCUUUGGUUGGGUUUCCUUCCCUAGCGCUUGGGAACUGUCGCAAACUUGACCAUUUAGAGGAAGUAAAAGUCGUAACA